UAGAUUGAUGGCCUAGUGGCCAAAGGGAGGCGUUGUCAGCUCUUCUUGGUUCCUUAGAAGUCAAAUUAGCAACGGUUUUGAUCUUAGGAAUCCCCAGAAAUAUCAACUGGAAGGGGGUUUUGGUCAAAACAGAGAAACUAGACCAGGUCAUAGUCCUAUGGUAGGGACGAGAUCAGGGCCACAGGCUGUGACAAAGCCUAGUUCCUGAGUCCUCCCCCGAAAAGUUGCGGAGAUACCCACCGGCUUGGGUGAGCUCAGAUUCCCCCUUCUAUGUCUCCAAGACAGAAGAACAGCAAAAUAUGCCUGGGCGACCCUCGGAGAGCUAAGAGGUACGUGAAAAGGCUAGAAGAAGACAUUGGAUUCCCUGGAGUGGUGUUAGUGCAGACUGUGAGCCUCCUGGCAAUGGUGCUGGAAACCAAACUUUGGUGCUCUGAAAGAUCAGGAAGUGGUCUUAAUGGCUGAUGUACAUCACAGGCUGGGGACCAAUGUCCAAGACUAUGUGGACCAUCUCAAACCACCUAUGUACUUAUAAUGACAGCACGCAGGCAGUGAGCCAGGGCCUCACAUGCUCGGCAAAUGCUCUACCCACUGGACAGCAUCCCCAGCUUGUUUUUGGAAACAAGUUUCAUUAAGUUGUCCAGC
rnacentral:lncRNA from 1 species